GGCUCACCCAAGGACAGACAGUCAUCCAACCCGUGGGAGAAACAAAAGUGAAGGAAGGGGAAUUUGUUACCCUGGACUGUAGCUAUAAUUCUGGCUUCCCAACGCUGCUCUGGUACAGGCAGGAAUCCGGAGGAUCGCCACAGUUCAUCCUUCAUGAGGGCUCCAGACAGGAAGAUUUGGAAGAGAGGUUCAGGAACCGUUUCAAAGCCAAAAUUAAUAAAACCAGCCGGGUUUUCCCUUUGGAUAUAUCAUCGGUUCAGUUGUCUGACUCUGCCACCUAUUACUGUGCGCUGAGAGACACA